GGGUGUAUAACUCAGGUGGUAGAGUAACACGCUGAUAACGUGUAAGUCCUUGGUUCAAGUCCAAGUACACCCA
rnacentral:tRNA from 1 species